UUUGGUUAUUUUUAUUGCUUGUAAAAAAUGUACAUGUAAAAGUGCCCCUGUGGCCUAUUUGCUGAAUAAAUGUUUGAUUUUUGAUAACGUUCGCGUUGUUUUUAGGGUUCCGUAGCCAAAUGGCAAAAAACGGAACCCUUAUAGAUUCGUCAUGUCUGUCUGCCCAUCCGUAUGUCACAGCCACUUUUUUCCGAAACUAUAAGAACUAUACUGUUGAAACUUGGUAAGUAGGUAUUCUGUGAACCGCAUUAAGAUUUUCACUCAAAAAUAGAAAAAAAAAAUUUGGGGUUCCCCCAUACUUAGAACUGAAACUUUUUUUUUCAUAAACCCACACGUGUGGUCUAUCUAUGGAUAGGUGUUCAAAAAUGAUAUUGAGGUUUCUAAUAUCAUUUUUUUCUAAACUGAAUAGUUUGCGCGAGAGACACUUCCAAAGUGGUAAAAUGUGUCCCCCCCCCCUGUAACUUCUAAAAUAAGAGAAUGAUAAAACUAAAAAAAAUAUAUGAUAUA